rnacentral:rRNA from 1 species
GUCUCACUAUAAGUCAUUUUACCACCAAACCGCCAAUGGCUCCUUAAAACCGUUAUAGUUUCCUUGCCGGUCCAUCCUUAUACCGAUAACUGUGGUAAUUCCAGAGCUAAUACCUGCCCCAAGACCCCACUUCCCCGAAGGGUUGCCUUCCUUAGAUACCGAACCCUCCCCCUUCGGGUUUUGGAUGAUCCCUAAUGAAU